rnacentral:misc_RNA from 1 species
AUUGUUGGUGUGCCAUUCGCAAAACCAGGUGGUCACGAUUUCCGUGCAAACAACAUCACACAUAGUGUUUCCAACCUCGGAGCUACCAUGUUGAAGCACAGGCUGACGCCACCACCCGACGAAGUUUACAGCCUCCACAGAAAGUUGUCAGGUGCAUUCCUAGCCUGCAUCAAGAUAGGGGCAGUUGUACCCUGUAGGGAGAUGCUGUUCAAGGUUUAUGAG